rnacentral:lncRNA from 1 species
AUGUUAGCUCUGACUUUGGACUCUGUUGGACUCUGUGUUGUGGACUCUGUGUUGGACUCUGUGUUGUCUUGUUGGACUCUGUGUUUGGACUCUGUGGUGGACUCUGUGUUGUGGACUUGUGUUGGACUCUGUGGUGGACUCUGUGUUGGACUCUGUGUUGUGGACUCUGUGUUGUGGACUCUGUGUUGGACUCUGUGUUGUGGACUCUGUGUUGUGGACUCUGUGUUGGACUCUUGUGUUGGACUCUGUGUUGGACUCUGUGUUGUGGACUCUGUGUUGGACUCUGUGUUGGACUCUGUGUUGUGGACUCUGUGUGUUGGACUCUGUGUUGGACUCUGUGUUGGACUCUGUGUUGGACUCUGUGUUGGACUCUGUGUUGUGGACUCUGUGUUGGACUCUGUGUGUUGGACUCUGUGUUGGACUCUGUGUUGUGGACUCUGUGUUGGACUCUGUGUGAUGGACUCUGUGUUGGACUCUGUGUUGUGGACUCUGUGUUGGACUCUGUGUUGGACUCUGUGUUGGACUCUGUGUUUGGACUCUGUGUUGGACUCUGUGUUGGACUCUGUGUUGUGGACUCUGUGUGUUGGACUCUGUGUUGGACUCUGUGUUGGAUCUGUGUUUGGACUCUGUUUGGACUCUGUGUUGUGGACUCUGUGUUGGACUCUGUGUGUUGGACUCUGUGUUGGACUCUGUGUUGUGGACUCUGUGUUGUGGACUCUGUGUGAUGGACUCUGUGUUGGACUCUGUGUUGUGGACUCUGUGUUGGACUCUGUGUUGGACUCUGUGUUGUGGACUCUGUGUGUUGGACUCUGUGUUGGACUCUGUGUGUUGGACUCUGUGUUGGACUCUGUGUUGUGGACUCUGUGUUGGACUCUGUUGUGGACUCUGUGUUGUGGACUCUGUGUUGGACUCUGUGUUGGACUCUGUGUUGUGGACUCUGUGUUGUGGACUCUGUGUUGGACUCUGUUGUGGACUCUGUGUUGUGGACUCUGUGUUGGACUCUGUGUUGGACUCUGUGUUGUGGACUCUGUGUUGUGGACUCUGUGUUGGACUCUGUGUUGUGGACUCUGUGUUGGACUCUGUGUUGCCCACUGUUGGCACUCGGGAGCAUAA